rnacentral:rRNA from 1 species
CCUACUGGGGGCAUCAUUGAGGCAUCUUGGUCAAUGGACGCAAGUCUGAACCCUCCCUGCCGCUUUCCUUCCUCCUUCUCUCUUCUUUUUCCCCUUCUUUUUUCCUCUUUUCCCCGCAGCUACGCGUAUCUGUCUGAAAGUAUCGUACGAAUAAGGAUCGGCUAACUCCGGGCCAGCAGCCGCGGUAAUACGGAGGAUUCAAGCGUUAUCCGGAUUUAUUGGGUUUAAAGGGUGCGUAGGCGGUCGGAUAAGUUAGAGGUGAAAUCCCGAGGCUCAACUUCGGAAUUGCCUCUGAUACUGUUCGGCUAGAGAGUAGUUGCGGUAGGCGGAAUGUAUGGUGUAGCGGUGAAAUGCUUAGAGAUCAUACAGAACACCGAUUGCGAAGGCAGCUUACCAAGCUACUUCUGACGUUGAGGCACGAAAGCGUGGGGAGCAAACAGGAUUAGAUACCCUUGUAGUC